GGCAGAGGAGAGGCAGGCCACGCCGAGCGGACCUGACAGAGUGAUCCUAAUGGCCACUGGCUUUUGCUUGUUAUUCAAUUUUCAGAGAACCACUUUGUAUUAGGCUAAUUACAGCCUCCCUCAGACCAGCUGUUAGCUCAAAGUCAUCUAAGGAGCCUUCAGAUGAAGAGCUGGUUCAGGCGGUAGUUGAGACAGAGGAGUAGAGCUCCAGAGGGAGGGAGGGCACCUCUCCGCAGGCCCUCACCCACAACCAAGCACCACCUCCAGCACAGCAAAGCAUGCAGUCCCCAAUGUGCUCCCUGGUUGGGACUUUGCCAUUUUUCUCUCUUCCUCUGCCAUACUGCACCUCCAAAGUAGAGCCAACACAGAGUUUAGAGCCAGAGGCAGAGCCAAGGUGAAGGGACAGCUUCUAUUUGAAUUCACUUUAUAAGAAAUAUUUUAACAAAGAGCAAAAAUAAAAAACCCAUCUUAUUUGAAUUGUAAAAUACAAAUGUUUUAAAUCUGCACUGAAAUAAGGAUGGUUCCAGUUGGCUUACAGUAUGAAAUGUAAAUGGCAGCUACAUCCAGCUGCUCUCAUAACAGAGAAUCUUGAAACUAAAUCUUAACGGUGCAAGAUGAACUGUUUGUUGCAAUGGCCCUUUAUUUAGAAUGAUUCUAUCUAAUUGUAAUCCUGUCUAAAAUGUUGCCAUUUAAGCUAC